CGAACGCUGGCGGCGUGCUUAACACAUGCAAGUCGAACGGAAAGGCCCUGCUUGCAGGGUACUCGAGUGGCGAACGGGUGAGUAACACGUGGGUUAUCUGCCCUGCACUUCGGGAUAAGCCUGGGAAACUGGGUCUAAUACCGGAUAGGAGCCAUUUUUAGUGUGAUGGUUGGAAAGUUUUUUCGGUGUAGGAUGAGCUCGCGGCCUAUCAGCUUGUUGGUGGGGUAAUGGCCUACCAAGGCGGCGACGGGUAGCCGGCCUGAGAGGGUGGACAGCCACAUUGGGACUGAGAUACGGCCCAGACUCCUACGGGAGGCAGCAGUGGGGAAUAUUGCACAAUGGGCGCAAGCCUGAUGCAGCGACGCCGCGUGGGGGAUGACGGCCUUCGGGUUGUAAACUCCUUUCGCUAGGGACGAAGCUUUUUGUGACGGUACCUAGAUAAGAAGCACCGGCUAACUACGUG
rnacentral:rRNA from 1 species